CCCGGCCCGCCCGCCGCCCUCCUGCCCCGUCCCGUCCCGUCCCGUCCCGUCCCGUCCCCGCCCGGCCCGGCCGCAGCCGCGCUCACCUGGGCGGAUUUCUUGCAGGGCCCGGACUGCAGGAACCUGGCGAUCAGGGUUGCUGUGAGCUCUGUGACAGGUAACUCUUCCCGCUUCUCCUGGGCUCUUCCCUCAAGGAGUCAUCUUUCUGGUGAGCAGUGCCCAGCUCCGAGCGUAGCCUUCGUUCCCUGGGAGCUCCACUUCCACAGCACACUGCGGAUCUCCGUGACUCAUCUCUUUCUGGAGCCGCUGCGUCCGAGAGGCAGCGUGCCGGGGAGUGAUAGUAAAUCUCCUCCUGAAAGCCAGAUUUUACGCUAGUGCUUAUUCAUGUUUCUCCAGAGCAGAAUGCUGUUACGUGAAUGCCAACAGCAGCGCUGAGUGCUGGGGAGGAGCAUACCGACGCGAUGCUCUUGCAGGGCCUGAUCCUGCAUUUUCGGCUUUUCCUGCAAGCGCCGAGGAGCGGAGGCACUCCAUAGCUUUGCAGUCUGGGCACACGGCGUCUGCCUGUGCGGCUGGGGAUUCAUCACGGCUGUCCCCGCGUAGCUGGGUAUGCAAAUGGCACUGUCACUCCGUCAGCCAGGCAGAUAACUUACAUAGAACGAUGCCUCCAUGUACCCCGUCCCCUUUCUCUGCUAAGUUGUCAGGAUGUUUGUGUUUUAAUGCUGUUUCUCAGUUUUACAGAAGUAAUAGGUAUUUUUGUGAGGGGGUCAACAAAGUUCGUAAGAGUUUUUAAAAGUGCUGGGGUUUUAUAUUGAAAAAAAAGAAGUAUAAAGUCUUUGAAUCGUUUUUUAUCUAUUUAUUGACAUCCAUAAGAUGUAAACAUUGUAAAUAAGGUCAUUAAUACCUUUAUAAUAGAGUCGUGUAACAAAUAGAAAUUAAAUAUAAAUUACCGCAUGAGGUGACGAAUUAGAAAGCUGUCUUGUACAAGUUUGCCCACAGGAGUCUGAGUUUAUAAAAAAAUUUCAGAGUCACCAGUAAAACUAAUGCUGCAGCCUGAUGAGGAGGAAAAUGAAAUGGGUUCUGUGAGUCACUUAAUAGCACCAACACGAUGAAACCCAAACCAAAUUAAAUAUUUGGGGGUGCAGAGGGAGGAAGGCAAGGGGGGUACCCGCUCUCCUAACCACUUGCCAUCGGCCACACGUGAAUGAAACAGAGAGGAUCCACGGCACCCUCCGUCCUGGCUGUGUGUCAGCGGGGUCCAGUGCAGGUGCCCAGGGUAAGCUCCCAAACUGGGUUGUGCCUGGCUUCAGGAAGUGCUUCCUUGGGGUGCUUCAGCUCUGUACCCCAUAACUUCCUUCAGCGCCUCCUGGAGUCUGUGCAGCCAGGAGCAGCCGUUCCCCCUUCACCGUGCUGUUCAGGCACCUGGACCACGUUCCCUUUCAGGCUGCUCUUCCAAAUAAGAAAGUCCUACCCUAUUUAACCCCACCCCAUAAGGCAGCUCUCACAAAGCACUGCUCCCUCCCGUUGUCUGUCCCCACCUUUUCUAGUGCCGUUGAGACCAUUUGGAGAUGAGAGGUCCGAAGCUGCACCAAGUGUCGAGGCGGGUAUACCACAGGGCCGUAUGCUGGCACAACAACGCUUGUUUUUAUUUGUUCUCCAUUUCCUCCCUAAUAAUUCUUUAUGGUCUGUUUGCCUUUGACUGCCUCUGAGCGCUGUGCAUAGCGCUAUGAAAAUGUCAGCGCAGCGAUGCCAAGAUCUCCUCACUGAGUUGUGCUAGGUCAGAGCCCAUUUCUGCAUCUUUGUAGUUAAGGGUCCCACCCUCCCACUGGCAUUAUUUUGCAUUUAUCACAGCUCAGUUUCAUUUCUCCUUCUAUUCCCUUAAUAUCAAGCCUGAUCUAGACGAUGGGCUGCAAACCAGAGUUAAACGGCCAGAUCUAAAUCUGUAUUUGAGUGCUUCUCUAGAGCUCUUGGUAAGUGCUACUCCAUACUGGAAUUUUGUUGCCCUUGAUUUUAUUUAUUCCGCUUAAAGCCUUGUCUACGGAUCUUCAGUUUGAGGCAUUUUCUCCAUCUUACCCCUUGUAAAGAAAGGCUUUGACAUGGAAACCGCCAUCAAUUCCUCUGCAGAAAACAGCGACCUGCGUGUUUCACUCAGAUCUUGAACUUCCAUCGUUUAGUGGAUGUGUACGGUCUCCAACAGCCUUCCAGCUUCUGAACUUUGGUAACAUUUUUUUUUUUUUGCCUUAAACAAUUAGGGCUUUAGAUACAGCUUGCUAGAAUCUCUGUUUUCUCUGCCAUCUCCGUCUGAAGACGACUCAGUUACGGGAGCUCCCUUAAAGCUUUUCUUGAUAGAAAAGAAUAAUUUAAUUUAAUCUCUGGUAAAGUGCUUUUCAACACCUGCAAGUACUUACCCUUUUGGCUGUUCCCUUUCCUCUCCUCUACACCAGUAAAGAAAGCCUUUCUUUAGGGUUUAUGAAGUCCCUGAGUUUCGUAUGGCUGAGUGAUGCUCUAGAUGAAAACUAACAUGGAAAGCCAGCGUACGUGAGGUGAAGAUGCAAAAGGCAAAUUGGAGCCUUAAAGACAGAAUUCCAGCCACCAGUCUUUACUUUCACAAGGUGUUGUUGCAUUCUUACUGUUGCAUAAUAAUAAGCAUAGAAGACAAGUGCACAGACUGUGUAGGCGAAAAAAAAAGCAUCUUUUUAUUCUCCGCAUUCCUGGGCAGUUCCUUAAGCCUAACGGAGUCCUGCCAUGUUCCUGUUGAGGGUCUCCUCUGCUCUCUGGGAUGUCCCUGUGGACACCCUGCUUUCUUCUGUUCCUCUGGCAGUCCGGCAGCUCUUUCGGGCCUUGACCUCUCCUACAAAUCCUCCUUCCCACUUGGCUUUGGUGCUGCUGCGUAUCAGCUGUACCAGCCCCUCACCUUGUACUUGCGCUGCGUCUCCCUGCUGCAGCCCUUCCUGAGAUGCUUCCAGGAUGGCCAAGGAACAUUUACCCACGUACCCCCAAAAGGGGCAUUGAGAAAUCCCAUGGGUGGCAGUGCCAGCCUCCUGGUGGGGGUUUAUUCACUAAUCCCUGAACGCAGCUGGAUCAAACGUCAGGCUGGAGCGAACAUCAGAGUGCUGGGAGCUGAGCAAGGGCAAAGGAAUUUAGGCAGAACAGAGGCUCGUGAGAUGCUUUGAGAAAGUCUGGGCUUGUGUUUCUUACCAACACUCCCUCCCUGUUGGGAGAGGAAAGCAACAGGAGAAAAGCCCCAGCUGGAACUUUCGCCUUGCAGCAGUUUCACCCAGUCCGUCCGGAGAGCAAACAGCCCGAGGCACAGUCGUGGUGCGGGAGCUACGGGGACCCAUCCUGCUGCAUCCGCGCCAUCCCGGUGGGGACGCAGGAGCUGGGGAAGGAGAACCCUUCCCAGCCAGGGAACUUUCCUUGUGCCCCUCAGCCCCCGCCUCACCGCGGCCGUCCAGCUCAAAAUGAGGUUUUUGGCAGAGCGAGAAAAGCUCCUGUGUAAGGUUUGAUAUUCCUGUUAAGGUUUAGUAUUCCUUUCGGCAAUUUGCACACAGACUCCGAGCUACCUCCUCCAUGAAUCGCUGCCGCGGCCCCGAGAUCCACAGAGCCACAUCUGGGGUGACGGAGUUUGUUGGAUUUGACAAUGUGAGUGUAAUGAAUAGGCUGCUUAGCACUGCAAGCCAUUUCCCUCCGAUGGCUGCGAAAUAAAUGAUGGGACAUUUUCCAGUGCAGCGCCGCAACCACCCAAAAUACCACUAUAAAAUUCACAGGCACAAAAUAGAGUGACUGCAUUAAGCAAGGCUUAGGGGGAUUAUCGAAUUAAAUUGGUUGCCCCCUCCACCCUUCCCCCCGUCAAAGAUAUUAGGAAUCUGAAUACAAAAAAGAGCAUUAAAACAACACGAUGGGCUUUGCCAAAACCUAU